AUACUUACCUGGAUGGGGUCAACGGACGAUCAAUAAGGUUCGUGGCCUAGGCCAAUGGUCCACAUUGCACUUUGUAGGAUGCGUUGGCUUACCAUCUUCUCAAGAGGAGAAUGGACAUCAUAAUUUGUGAUAGAGGGGGUACGUGUUCGCGCGGCCCCUG